rnacentral:rRNA from 1 species
UACGUAGGGGGCGAGCGUUGUCCGGAAUUACUGGGCGUAAAGGGUUCGCAGGCGGCAUGGCAAGUCCGAUGUAAAAGGCGAAAGCUCAACUUUCGUAAGCAUCGGAAACUGUCAAGCUUGAGUGAAGGAGAGGCAAGUGGAAUUCCUAGUGUAGCGGUGGAAUGCGUAGAUAUUAAAAAGAAUACCGGUGGCGAAGGCGACUUACUGGGCUCAUUCUGACGCUGAGGAACGAAAGCGUGGGUAGCAAACAGG